AAAAGCUGAAACCUUCUUGUUCUUUGUUCAAUAAUGGUGACUGAUUUUGCUCUCCAUAUUUGCAACUCUAUGCACAGACACAAAGAAAACAGCAGCCAAAAGGAGGGUAAACCAGGUCAUCGUCAGUCAAACAACAAGGCCAGACUACACGGUCUGUCUAUCUGUCUGUCACGAUGGUCACCGUGUCAGAUUAGGCGACCACAGAGCCACAGAUUUGUGCCGUGACUUGACCCUUGUGCUUCACUGGUUAACAACAUUGACGUGAUGGAGCACAUCAUAAGAGCAGAAACAGACGAACAGGACACCAACAUUAACCCCACACUGACAGUUCCCUGUUCAGAGUGUACCUGAGAGGUGAUCCUUUGGGCGUGGCUACUCCGUAGCCUUUGGAGUCCAGGUUGCCUCCCACUUUCAUGGUGUCGCAGGGCUUCCUCUGCUCAAUGUACUCGUUCAUGGAGGACUCCAGCAGGUAGGCGUACUUCCCCUUUGACUUCCUGACUCUAAUCACUCCCUCAUUGGUGUUUUUCACAAACACAGUGGGGUCGGCACUCCGCAUGUACGACCACAUCUUCUCAAACACUGCUAUC